ensembl:processed_transcript si:dkey-40i22.5 si:dkey-40i22.5
GAAUAAACCAUAUGACAGAGGAGAGCUGGAACACUUCACUGCGUCUGACUUCUCAUCAUUUGAUACACAAAUGAAGGAUGAUAGUUGUUCAGAAAAGUUUAAUAAUGUAAUUAAUGUCAGGCAAACAAGAAGAUGUUAAAGCAAACAGAUGAUUUCUCCUUGAGAAGCCACAUUGUACACUUUGUUUUUUAACCUCGCUCCAUGGAUGUGCUAACAAUUCAUGUCAUGGAGGACUCGUCUGACAGCGCCGUGUUCCGGGUCCAGGUUCAGUGUGCUGACACUUUCCUGCUAAACUACUGGCUCCACAAGACCUUCUUCAACAAUGGGGAAGUCCAGCAGAUCAACACUCUGAGGAUAAACGGCUGCCGUGGGCUAGUGUUUGUUUUGAGGGUGCUGCAUCGCUCUUCACGCCUCCCUAAUUCCCAUUACUGGUGCCCUUUUCUAGUAACACUCUGCCUGGAUGCCCUGGCAUUUCACUACCACCUCCCCUCUGUGCCCCAGUGGAACGGCACCCUUCGAGAGGCGAUGAGAGGAAACAGCCUUGAGCUCAGACGCUGACAGACUCGAGGCUUUGCUGUUUGCAGAUCCUGUUAGUUUCAGAUAUUUGCUUACUAAAAUGACGCACUGGAAGUAGCUCAUUUUACCGUUGUAGAUGUAGUACGUGCCGUCUUUGAACACAGCAACGGCAGGAACAUCCUGCAGGGUGACUGCCUAUGGAGAUGACCAGUUAUGAAUUGUUUUUGAAAAGGAUAAUCUGAAUAUUUUCCAGAUUAUUUUACAGAAACAUCUUACCUUUGGAAGGAUUUCCUCAGAGGCAGUAAAAAAAUAUGUGUGGACAAUAAACUCAGUGGCAGCUUUAUAGUAUUCUUUCUGUAAAAAAAAAAUAAUAAUCACAAUAAAAUAUC